CCUACGGGGGGCAGCAGUGGGGAAUAUUGGGCAAUGGGCGCAAGCCUGACCCAGCAACGCCGCGUGAAGGAAGAAGGCUUUCGGGUUGUAAACUUCUUUUGUCAGGGAAGAGUAGAAGACGGUACCUGACGAAUAAGCCACGGCUAACUACGUGCCAGCAGCCGCGGUAAUACGUAGGUGGCAAGCGUUGUCCGGAUUUACUGGGUGUAAAGGGCGUGUAGCCGGGUUGACAAGUCCGAUGUGAAAUCCUGCGGCUUAACCGCAGAACUGCAUUUGAAACUGUUGAUCUUGAGUACUGGAGAGGCAGACGGAAUUCCGAGUGUAGCGGUGAAAUGCGUAGAUAUUAGGAGGAACACCAGUGGCGAAGGCGGUCUGCUGGACAGCAACUGACGGUGAGGCGCGAAAGCGUGGGGAGCAAACAGGAUUAGAUACCCCAGUAGUC
rnacentral:rRNA from 1 species